AUGUCCCUUGGCCCCUAUAACUAGGGGUGUAAACAAGCCCGGAGGCUCGAGAGCUACUCGUGAUCGGCUCGGUUAAAAGCUCGAACGAGUCGAGCCUUAACGAGCCCGAGUCCGAGAUCGAGCCUGAAAUAGAGCUCGAUUAGUUAUCGAGCCCGAGCUCGAGCCUGAAAUACAAAGCUCGUUUAGGCUCGCGAGCCCAAACGAGCAUAAACAAAAUUUUAGUUUUUUAUAUAUAUAAUAUAAUAAUGAUGAUGAUAACAUUGGUGAGCCGAGCUCGAGCCGAGCUUUGGCUCGCUUAAUCGCUGUUGAAACGAGCUCGAGCCGAGCUUUUAGCUCAUUUGAGGUUGUU
rnacentral:lncRNA from 1 species